rnacentral:rRNA from 1 species
GAUGAACGCUGGCGGCGUGCCUAAUACAUGCAAGUCGAGCGAACGGACGAGAAGCUUGCUUCUCUGAUGUUAGCGGCGGACGGGUGAGUAACACGUGGAUAACCUACCUAUCAGACUGGGAUAACUUCGGGAAACCGUAGCUAAUACCGGAUAAUAUUUUGAACCGCAUGGUUCAAAAGUGAAAGACGGUCUUGCUGUCACUUAUAGAUGGAUCCGCGCUGCAUUAGCUAGUUGGUAAGGUAACGGCUUACCAAGGCAACGAUGCAUAGCCGACCUGAGAGAGUGAUCGGCCACACGGGAGCUGAGACACGGACCAGACUCCUACGGGAGGCAGCAGUAGGGAAUCUUCCGCAAUGGGCGAAAGCCUGACGGAGCAACGCCGCGUGAGUGAUGAAGGUCUUCGGAUCGUAAAACUCUGUUAUUAGUGAAGAACAUAUGUGUAAGUAACUGUGCACAUCUUGACGGUACCUAAUCAGAAAGCCACGGCUAACUACGUG